CCAACGUCAGGCCACAAAUUUGUGCCACCCCGCUGGGGGUGCGGCCUGCGCAGCCCCAGGAGGACUGGGU
rfam:Japanese encephalitis virus isolate CH2195LA, complete genome.